UCUGCACUAAGUAGGCACUUAAUAAGUAUUUAUUAAAUUUAAUUGAAACCAUGUCUUCUAACUUCUGAUUAUAAUAGUAGCAUUUACAUAUUGCUUUAAGCUUUGCAAAGUGCUUUACAAACACUACUUCAUUUGACCCUCAUAGCAACCCUGGGAGAUAGGUGCUAUUAUUAUCCUCAUUUUACAGAUGAGAGGUCCAAGGCACAAAAUGAUUUGCCUGGGGUCACACACGGGAAAUGUAUAAGGCCAAAUUUGAACUCAGAUCUUCCUAAUUCCCAAUCCAGCUCUCUAUCCAUUGUACCAUCCAGCUGCCAAAAUUCUGACUCUAAAUCUUGCUCUUUGUAUUACAUCCUUCUGCUUACUAAUAAUCACAAUCAUAAUCAUUAUUAUGCCUUUUCUUUUUUUUCAAAUUCUUCAUUUUAUUAUAAUUUAAAAUUUUUUAUAAUUUUUUUAUUUUUCAAGAUAUAUGCAAAGAUAGUUUUAUUGCAUAUUUUUCUCCCUCCCUUCCCCCAACUCCUCUUUCCUAGACAGCAAGUAAUCCAAUAUAGCAUAAACAUGUGAAGUUCUUCCAAACAUAUUUCCACUUUUAUCAUGCUGCAUAGGAAGAAACAGAUUAAAAAGGAAAAAAAAGAGAGGAAAAAACCAAGCAAACAACAACAAAGGUACAAAUACUAUAUUUUGAUCCUCAUUCAGUCCCCAUAGUCCUCUCUCUGAGGGCUGAUGGCUCUCUCCACCACAAGUCUAUUGGAAUUGUUCUGAAUCAACUCAUUGUUGAAAAGAGUAAAGUUUAUCACAUAAACUUGUUUUUUUAAUAAAGCUUUUUAUAUUCAAAACACAUGCACAGAUAAUUUGACAAUAUUGAACCUUACAUAAACUUGGGUUUCAGAUUUUCCCCUCCUUCCUCCACUCCCUCCCUUAGAUGGCAAGCAAUUCAAUAUAUGUUAAACAUGUUAAAAUAUAUGUUAAAUCCAAUAUAUCAUAAAUUUUCAAUGGUACUUUGAUUCCCAAAUACACAUAUAGCUUUCAACAUUCAUUUUUAAAAAGAUUUUUGUGUUCCAGAUUUUUCCCUUCCUCCUUUCUCUCUCUCCCUCCUCCCCAUAAUCCCUCUGUAAUCUGAUACAAGUCAAAUAUGUGUAAUUCUUUUAAACAUAUUUCCAUAUUUGUUGUGUUGUUCAAGAAAAAUCAGAAAGGCAAAAAAAUGAGAAAGAAAAUAAACGAGCAAACAAACAAAAAAUACAUUCAGUCUCCAUAUUUCUCUCCCUGGAUGUGAACGGUACUUUCCAUCCCAAAUCUACUGGAAUUGCUUUGAAUCACCACAUUGUUGAAAAGAGCCAAGUCCAUCCCACUUGAUUGAUCAUGACCUAAUCUUAUUACUGUGUCCAGUGUUCUCUUGCUUCUGCUCACUUCACUCAGCAUCAGUUCAUGUAAGUUUCCAAUGCCUUAUAUUUCUUAAUUGUUUCUUUUUCACAGUUUCCCCCUGUAUCAUGGCACGAUGAUUAGCUAUGGAAUACCACAAUUUCCAAAGAAACACAAAGCGGGAUGUGGAGAUUCCUGGGGAGUAGGAGAAGAUAAAAAUCCCCGAAGUGUGCUCUCAAUGAGUUCUAAUAUGCACUGAGGAUGAGUACCUCCUAUCAGAUAACCACUCCCAAUGGCCAGAAGAUGCCCCCUGAGAUCCCCUGAGGAUGAAAGAGAGGGAGAAAUCCAUACUGCCUUGUCCUCAGGGAGCUUACAAUCCAGGCUAAAUAAACAUUCCUAGUUCCUCUAUCUGAGCCACCUGGGACAUGCAUUCAAGGCCUUUCCACAUUCCGGUGGCCUUCCUCCAGACACUCCAGUUUAUCAAGGUUCUUAAAAUGUGGCUCCUAUCACUAGCCUCAGAACUACAGACGGGAUCUGGAGAAGGCAGAGGAUGCUUUCAGGGGCCUCUCAAUGUAACUCCAAGAUCAAAUUUGGUUUUGUUUUUUUUUUUUUUGGCUGUAAAAUCCUGGUCUUGUUGAUUUAUAUGGAACUGAUGGAUAGCUAAAAACACCUACUCAAGCUUCUAAAACUGGUUUCAGUGUGACCUUGGACAAAUCACUUAACUUAGGAAAUAGCAUGGAAUAGGGAAAAUAGCAUAAAACAGCCAGGGAUUAGUGCUUCACACACACACACACACAGAUCCCAGCCAUAUCUAAAGACAAUAACAGUGUCUCUAUGAUGCUUUACAGUUUUGACAUGUUCCCUCCCAAAUCUGCCAUUCUCUGGUCUACAGAUUUCCCCCAACUCUCGUAACACAUGAGAUAUUUGUAAGGCACAUUGCUCUACAGAGUGCAAUAUAAGUGCUAGCUAUUAUCAUGAUCCUAUCUUCUAAUGACCCCCCAGGUUCUUCCUCCUAUCCCCCAACUCUGACAUUCUAUGAUUCUUUGAUCUGGAUCUCAGUUUUAGCAUCUGAAAAAUGGGUAACUACUCCAGGACCUCACUGAAAGGGCUCAAAUAACAGAAAAGGUAAAAAAUUGUCUCGUAGAUGGUAAAGCACCACGUGUACAAUUGUUAUUAUCAUGAGAUAGAGAUGUGAUCAGUGGGGAGGCGUAUGUGUGUGUGUGGGCAUGUGUUUGAGUGAAAAGGAAAGAGGCAGAGGGGGAAAGAAGGAGAAACAGAGAGAGACAGAAAGAGAGAGACAGGGAGAGAAACAGAGACAGAGAAGCAGUGGUUUAUGACCUGGCUGCUUUAUGACCCCCGCAAAGACUCAAUUUCUUCAGUUUCUGAAAAAAGAUCCUUAGAAAUGAGAGCUUGGAGGUGUAGGAAGGUGAAGGGGUGGAGUGAGUUGGAAUCAGGCUUAUUUGUGAGGGACUGGAUCUUCUAUCAGGGAAGGAGGAUAUUGGGGGAGGGAAACAGCCCAGUUCUUAGAGAUACUGCCUCCCUCGGGUGGGGGUUCUGGCCAGUCCUUGGGCAGGGGCUUGCUGGGAGAUUCUGCUUCUCCAGGGUCCUUCCCUCACCUAUUUGCCUGUCCAGGCAAAUGAUCCUGAAGCUUGUGUGUAGGAGGAUAGAAGAGGAGAGUUCAUAGAGUACUCUAAGAUAUCAGAGAAGGGAAGUACAGCUGCUAUGAGGUCCCACCUCCAUUCUCCCUUCUGCUUUUCUUCCCUUUUCCCUCCCUUUGCUUUUCUUUCUCUUUCACAUGUCCUCCCUCCUCCUUCCUUCUUUCCCUUUCCUAUCUCCUCCUCUUUCUCCCCCCUCCUCUUCCCCCUUCCUCCUCCUCCUCCUCCCCCUCCUCUUCCCUUUCCCCCUCUUUCCCCUUCCUCUUCUCCCACCAGAUUCAGGGGAGAGAAGGGGCCCACUGUUAGUCCUUGGUUUAACCCCUUCUAUUCCGAGGACUGACCCAGCAGAAGAGUUUUCAGGAAACUAAUGGGAUAGGGCCAAAGCCAGUGAAUGAAACCCAGGAUGUUUUCCCCUAGAGCUCUCCUCCAAUAUGGGGCAUGAGGAAAAGAUAAAUCUGGGCAAACCCAGCCCAGGUAGCCAGGGCCCAUUUCCUCUCCCCUGCCCAAAGAGAAGACAUUCUUCAGACUCCUGCUUAAGGGGCAUCUCACUCAAAUAGGAGUGGGAAGAAGAGAGAAGAUGGCUGUAAUAGAAAUGAUCAUAUGUGAAAUCUUCCAUUUCUAAAAAGUUAUUUGCAAAAUGUUUCUUUUUCAAGAGUCCUAUGAGAUAAUUUAUAAGACAAUCCUCAGUCUUUUUUUACAGAUGCAGAUUUUGAGGCUCUCAGGAGAAGAGAUGAGGAAGCACCUCCCUCCUUUUGAGACCUAUGUGUGUGGAGUGUUGCCUACUCCAUGUCUCUUAGUCCUGCCCUAUUGCUUUUCUUUGUUACAAGAGAGCUUCAUUUAGUGGGAAAGCACAUGCAAAAAUGGUUGUGCUGCAAAAACAAAAGGCAUCCAUGAAAUGAACUAAAAAAGAAAAAGAAACUGAGGCUGAAUGUGAUUUACUUGCCCCCUCCCCUAGAUCACAGAGCUUAUAAGUAGCAGAAUUAGAAUUAGAAGCGGGGCUCUUGAUGGGAGAUGCCAGUGGUUUUUCAUAAGGAAGAAGAUGGGGGAAGGGGGUGAUAGGGUGAGAACUGGAAGGUGUCCAAAGUCCACAAAGGGACCUGGUUCAGCCCCCAUCUUUCCUCCUCAUUAUUUAAAGAUUGUUCUUUGUCCCUGUCGUCCUAGGCCAGUCCCUGACCUGGAAUUCAAGAAGCUUGGAUUGAUGGAUCUAUGUCUCCUUGCAGGGGACUUUAGGGCUCUUCCCUUUCCCUCCAUGGGCCUCCUGCUCCUCAGCUAUAGAAUAGGGGGGAGCUUGGUCUCUGGCUCUUGGAGCUAAACUGAGACAACUCAAAUGUUGUAUGAGUUUACAUAAAUCAAAUGAGUCUUCUCC